AUCUAGCUGAUGAGUCCAAAAUAGGAUGAAACACGCAUCCUGGAU
rnacentral:hammerhead_ribozyme from 1 species